rnacentral:lncRNA from 1 species
UCCUGCUGGUUUAAGCUUCUAGACUGUUACGGCUUGAUGGGUCUAAUCUUCCACUUUAGGGAUGCAGAAACUGAGAUCUGAGAGGGGAUGGAACUGGAGCCAUGCCUCUUGCCUUCUAGUUUGACGUUCUUCAUUCCCUCGAAUUUCCAGGGACAUUUAUCUCCUCUUGCCUUCCUCUCGGGAAGACUUGUCCUGCUGCUCCAGCCACAGUUGCCUGCGUUGGAAGCCAGGGGGCAUUUUUAUGUUUCCCGACCUCUGUAAGUCAAAUGAGAAGUUCCUUGAUAUGUUUUGAAUCUCUGUGGCUAUCUUGCCUAACCCCGGUGGCCGUCCCUGCCUCCCCAACUUUAGCCUCCCACUGCUCUUCCCCUGCAGUCUUGUGGGCUCCAUCC